rnacentral:rRNA from 1 species
CGCGUAGGCGGUCUCUUAAGUCAGGUGUGAAAGCCCGGGGCUCAACCUCGGAAGUGCACUUGAAACUAAGAGACUUGAGUAUGGGAGAGGGAAGUGGAAUUCCUGGUGUAGCGGUGAAAUGCGUAGAUAUCAGGAGGAACACCGGUGGCGAAGGCGACUUCCUGGACCAAUACUGACGCUGAGGCGCGAAGGCGUGGGUAGCAAACAGGAUUAGAUACCCUGGUAGUCC